CUUCAGAGCAAAACCUUUGAAUGCUGUUCGCCUGCUUUAGUAUCCGUGACUACCGCCUACUCUCAUUCCAUGACUGUCAUCUACUCUCACUUCCUCUGCUGUUUCACCUUUCUUUCCCUAGUGUGACCGAUGAGAUACAUAUUGCUUUUUAUUGCAUGCGAAAUAAAAAGGGUAUUUCUGUUAUAGAAGAAAACGUCUUGUAAAUGCUAAGCAACAGAUACAAAAACAGUGACGAUAACGUCAAUUCCGACGUCACAGCAGCGUUUUUACUCACUUGAAUGGCUACAUGGGAAGAAUAAUAACGUAAAGUGACACAAUUUUCGUUGCUGAUACCAUUGAUAAAGGCAUGGAAACCGAAGUGGCACAUACCCUUUCUAUGAACAUUUCGUCUUCUAUUUACCUUGCAUGUGUAUGUAACAACAAUCUACUCCAUGUGUUACAUUUCAACAGAUAUCUGCUGUUUAAACGUGUGUGUAUAUAUGUGUAUAUAUGUGUGUCAACAUCAUGGUGUUUCGAGUGAUCGCAAGUAAUGGUUAAGAUAUGCCACUAUAUAUCUUCCCACAGGGCCUGACACUCAACACGGAGGCCUAUAUCAAGUGCCUGGAGGAAGUAGUGCUGCCCUGGGUCAAGAGAGUGGCUACUGGAAGAUCCUAUGUCUGGCAACAAGACUGUACAAUGCUACACUAGCAGGAGAACCCAGUCAUGGCUGUCAGACAAUUUCUACGACCACAUCACCCAUGACAUCUGGUCACCUAACUCCCCAGACUGCAAAACGCUUUAUUAUGUGUGGGGCACAGGUGAGCGAGAGACACCAAAGAUGAACUGAAGGCAAGGAUUAUGGGAGCAUUCACCAACUAAGACAAGGAAACCGUCCAGGAGAGUUGCAGGAUAUUUUGAAGUCGCCUGGAAGCCGUGGUUGAAGCCAAUGGUGAUUUUAUUGUCUAAAUUUACGCUUUAGAAUUUCAAGAUAUGUUUAUGUAAUUUCGAUAAAUAUAUCUGUUA